UUAAUGUCCAGGAGAGUGGCCCUCCGCAUGGAGGGUUGACUAGAGAUUUAUCGGUAUGGGAUGAGCUUGCGUCCGAUUAGCUAGUUGGCGGGGCAACGGCCCACCAAGGCGACGAUCGGUAGCCGGCCUGAGAGGGUGAUCGGCCACAUUGGGACUGAGAUACGGCCCAGACUCCUGCGGGAGGCAGCAGUAGGGAAUAUUGCACAAUGGGGGAAACCCUGAUGCAGCAACGCCACGUGUGGGAAGAAGCAUUUCGGUGUGUAAACCACUGUCAUGAGGGAAUAAGGCCCGCCUCCGGGCGGGAUUGAAUGUACCUUGAGAGGAAGCACCGGCAAACUUCGUGCCAGCAGCCGCGGUAAUACGAGGGGUGCAAGCGUUGUUCGGAAUUACUGGGCGUAAAGGGAGCGUAGGCGGAGAUUCAAGCGGAUUGUACAAUCCCGGGGCCCAACCCCGGCUCUGCAGUCCGAACUGGAUCUCUUGGAUAGUUCAGGGGCAGGCGGAAUUCCUGGNGUAUCGGUGGAAUGCGNA
rnacentral:rRNA from 1 species